AUUGAACGCUGGCGGCAGGCCUAACACGUGCAAGUCGAGCGGAUGAAGGGAGCUUGCUCCUGGAUUCAGCGGCGGACGGGUGAGUAAUGCCUAGGAAUCUGCCUGGUAGUGGGGGAUAACGUCCGGAAACGGGCGCUAAUACCGCAUACGUCCUAAGGGAGAAAGUGGGGGAUCUUCGGACCUCACGCUAUCAGAUGAGCCUAGGUCGGAUUAGCUAGUUGGUGGGGUAAAGGCCUACCAAGGCGACGAUCCGUAACUGGUCUGAGAGGAUGAUCAGUCACACUGGAACUGAGACACGGUCCAGACUCCUACGGGAGGCAGCAGUGGGGAAUAUUGGACAAUGGGCGAAAGCCUGAUCCAGCCAUGCCGCGUGUGUGAAGAAGGUCUUCGGAUUGUAAAGCACUUUAAGUUGGGAGGAAGGGCAGUAAGUUAAUACCUUGCUGUUUUGACGUUACCAACAGAAUAAGCACCGGCUAACUUCGUG
rnacentral:rRNA from 1 species